CUUUGGGGCGAGCGGGCCACAGCUUUCCCAGCUGAACAGAUCCACAGGGACAGUCGAUCCUCACCGCAGAUCAUAGUAUUUGUUGGCACUCUCGUGAGGAGUUACGCUGAUAAUGUGUCAUUAUCGGGUGGAUCAUCAUGCAAGUGGUACAUAAACGCACCGCUACCGGAAGUAAACGCUCUCAGAGCUAGUGCUGAAACCAACCACAACCCUGUCAUUUGGGAUCAGGGGAAAGCAGCUGCUGAGAGUACAGUCAUUGCAGUUCCUGAACAUAAGAAACUCAAGGAUAUUAAAUACCUCCAUCCUUUUGAA